GACGAAGGUGGCGAGCGUUGUUCGGAAUCACUGGGCAUAAAGAGCACGUAGGCGGCUAAGUCAGUCGGAUGUGAAAUACCUCGGCUCAACCGAGGAACUGCGUCCGAUACUGCUUGGCUUGAGGUCCGGAGGGGAGAGUGGAAUUCCCGGUGGAGCGGUGAAAUGCGUAGAGAUCGGGAAGAACGCCGGCGGCGAAAGCGAACUCUCUGGUCGGAAUCUGACGCUGAGGUGGCGAAAGCUAGGGAGCAACG
rnacentral:rRNA from 1 species